CUUGAUGUCUAUGAUUUGGGAAAAACAGGAAAUAGACGACAGGACACUUGACACAUCUUAAACAAUCUUAGUAACAGUCCAACGCCUACAUGACAUAAAGGAUACAUACAUAAGAGCUAUCCAUACUAUGAUAAACAAGUAAUAUACUAAAGGAUAGAGUCCUUACUUUAGCUGAGCUGCAGGCAAUCAAGACAACAUCUAUCCCAGCUUCGAGGACAGGGAUCGCUGAACAAGGAUAUCAGACACGGGUGGGAAAAAAAAUGAAGAGCAAUCUAUCAAAGUCGAAAAAUACAAACAUAAAUAUAGUAUUUCCUCCUGCGGAAAAACGCUCUUACCUCAGCAACAUGUUUCUUCAUAAUUAUCCACCCAAAAAAAUAAAACGAGACACUGAGAGGCAAGGGUUUUUCUGUCUAUUUUAAAUGCAAGGAGGCAGAAACCAAAGUUGGAGUUGGAGCGGGGAGCAUGGCAGAUAAACUGUGGUCCCUUUAUACUCAUCAUUUAACAGUUUUUGCAACUCCCAGUUCUCAACUCUUUUUAUUUCCGUGUAUCUUUCAUAUUUCUAUCUGACCUUUAAUCUAAUCCGCGGGAACUGUAUUUCUUGCGAGUGUCUCAUAGGGAUACAUUUUCCUUCCACAGUCAAUUAAAAUGGUCUUUAAAACCAA